GCCGUCGUGGUGAAACUGGCAGACGCAACAGACUCAAAAUCUGUCGGGGGCAACCCCGUAUCGGUUCGAUUCCGAUCGACGGCACCA
rnacentral:tRNA from 1 species